rnacentral:rRNA from 1 species
UACGUAGGGUGCGAGCGUUAAUCGGAAUUACUGGGCGUAAAGCGUGCGCAGGCGGUUAUGUAAGACAGUUGUGAAAUCCCCGGGCUCAACCUGGGAAUUGCAUCUGUGACUGCAUAGCUAGAGUAUGGUAGAGGGGGAUGGAAUUCCGCGUGUAGCAGUGAAAUGCGUAGAUAUGCGGAGGAACACCGAUGGCGAAGGCAAUCCCCUGGACCUGUACUGACGCUCAUGCACGAAAGGCGUGGGGAGCAAACAGG